rnacentral:rRNA from 1 species
AAACAUCUAAGUACCCCGAGGAAAAGAAAUCAACCGAGAUUCCCUCAGUAGCGGCGAGCGAACGGGGAUUAGCCCUUAAGCAUCUUGGAAGUUAGUGGAACGGUCCUGGAAAGGCCGGCGAUACAGGGUGAUAGCCCCGUACACGAAAACAACCUUGAUGUGAAAUCGAGUAGGGCGGGACACGUGACAUCCUGUCUGAAUAUGGGGGGACCAUCCUCCAAGGCUAAAUACUCCUGACUGACCGAUAGUGAACCAGUACCGUGAGGGAAAGGCGAAAAGAACCCCUGUGAGGGGAGUGAAAUAGAACCUGAAACCGUGUACGUACAAGCAGUGGGAGCCCUUCGGGGUGACUGCGUACCUUUUGUAUAAUGGGUCAGCGACUUACAUUUUGUAGCGAGGUUAACCGUAUAGGGGAGCCGUAGGGAAACCGAGUCUUAACUGGGCGUCUAGUUGCAAGGUGUAGACCCGAAACCGGGUGAUCUAGCCAUGGGCAGGUUGAAGGUUGAGUAACAUCAACUGGAGGACCGAACCCACUAACGUUGCAAAGUUAGGGGAUGACCUGUGGCUGGGGGUGAAAGGCCAAUCAAACUCGGAGAUAGCUGGUUCUCCCCGAAAGCUAUUUAGGUAGCGCCUCGGACGAAUACUACUGGGGGUAGAGCACUGUUUGGGCUAGGGGGUCAUCCCGACUUACCAACCCCAUGCAAACUCCGAAUACCAGUAAGUAAUAUCCGGGAGACACACGGCGGGUGCUAACGUCCGUCGUGAAGAGGGAAACAACCCAGACCGCCGGCUAAGGUCCCAAAGUUCUGGUUAAGUGGGAAACGAUGUGGGAAGGCUCAGACAGCUAGGAUGUUGGCUUAGAAGCAGCCAUCAUUUAAAGAAAGCGUAAUAGCUCACUAGUCGAGUCGGCCUGCGCGGAAGAUGUAACGGGGCUCAAACCAGGCACC